UAUGAGUGUGUGUUUGGCCAUCCAGAUUUCAUAACUACAACUGAUGUUCAAUUACAAGGGAUAUUAAUCAGUCUCCGUGGACUAUACACUGUGCCUAGUUUCAUCCUCAGAGACUGAUGUGUAAGCUUAAAGUAAAGACAUCAAAUCAAAGUAUCAGCCAUCAAGAGGAAAAACAUUCAAAAUCAUAUUGUGAUACACAAGUCAAGCAAGUCUGACCAGCAUUUUGAUACAGGCCAAGAAAAAGCUGGAUACUUGAUUGGAAGGGUCGCACAAAAAACAUGGGUUAUCACUAGGGAAACAAGCUCGCAAUACAGUUCACUGUUAGGACAGCAAGCCAAAUACUUCUAAACUUAUUUGAAUCAUUUUUGCUGUUUAUUUUAAUUCAUCCAAUUGUCUUAUUAAAUAUAUAAAUUUAUAUAUAUACACAAUUCCUAAUAUAGAAUUUCUAAAAAUGUUUUAUUAUAAUAUUUAAAAAUGAAACAAACAUGUUCCCAGAACACAGCCACAUAAUGUCAACAUGUUCCCAGAACACAGCCACAUAAUGUCAACAUGUUCCCAGAACACAGCCACAUAAUGUCAACAUGUUCCCAGAACACAGC